CCUACGGGAGGCAGCAGUAGGGAAUAUUGGUAAUCUGGGAAACCGGGAACCAGCAACGCCGCGUGCGCGAUGAAGGCCUUCGGGUUGUAAAGCGCUUUUUGAGGGGAUGAGGAAGGACAGUACCCUCAGAAUAAGCCUCGGCUAACUACGUGCCAGCAGCCGCGGUAGAACGUAGGAGGCGAGCGUUAUCCGGAUUUACUGGGCGUAAAGCGUGUGUAGGCGGUUUGAUAAGUUGGAUGUGAAAGCUCCCGGCUUAACUGGGAGAGGUCGUUCAAAACUAUCAGACUCGAGAGUGGUAGAGGGAGGUGGAAUUCCGCGUGUAGUGGUGAAAUGCGUAGAUAUGCGGAGGAACACCAGUGGCGAAAGCGGCCUCCUGGCCCAUUUCUGACGCUCAGACACGAAAGCUAAGGUAGCAAACGGGAUUAGAGACCCCGGUAGUCUUAGCUGUAAACGAUGUGAACUUAGUGUCGGUGGGGUUAAAUCCAUCGGUACUGAAGCAAACGCGAUAAGUUCACCGCCUGGGGACUACGGCCGCAAGGUUAAAACUCAGAGGAAUUGACGGGGCCCCGCACAAGCGGCGGAGCGUGUGGUUUAAUUCGAUGUUACACGAAGAACCUUACCAAGGUUUGACAUGUAAGUGGUAGGAAGCCGAAAGGCCUACGACCCUUCGGGGAGCUAUGAGAAGGGCGAAUUCCACCCCCUGGGGGG
rnacentral:rRNA from 1 species